rnacentral:rRNA from 1 species
GUCUACAACAAUACUGCCCUGAACAAGCUCGAUCCUGUCUGAUCUCAGAAGCUAAGCAGGGUCGGGCCUGGUUAGUACUUGGAUGGGAGACCACCUAGGAAGACCAGGUGCUGUAAGCA